rnacentral:lncRNA from 1 species
AAAGUUUGAUGUUUUACGUUUUCGUUGAAACCCAUUUUCUUCCAUUUUUGAUGCUACAUGAAUAGUAACCAAAUAUGGGGUUGGAGAAGAUGAAGUCUCCCUCACAUCCCCCAUUUUUCACCCUAUUUUUGUCUUUUGUAUAUAUAUUUUUAUUUUUUAUUUUAUUAUUAUUGCUUUAUUUAUUUAUUUUUGUUCUUUCUUUUAUUUCCUUUAGUUUUUUUUUAAUUCUUUUACCUCUUGCAUUGAUAGUGUGCCCCCUCGAAUUUAUUAUUUCUUUUACCUUUUUUAUUGCUUUAUUUUUUGGUUUAUUUUAUUGUAUUUUUAGUUGAUGCAUAAUUGUUAAUCCAAAAAGACAAAAUGACCAUCAAAUUUAACCUUUC